GGGCAAUGAUGAGAAAAUUAGAGAAAGUCAUGCACCACGCUGAUUUUAAUUUGUGCUGAUAAGUCUCUCUACCCAUAUUUUUUUCUGAGCUC
rfam:Gossypium hirsutum cultivar TM-1 chromosome 20, whole genome shotgun sequence